rnacentral:rRNA from 1 species
CAGCAGCCGCGGUAAUACGUAGGGUGCAAGCGUUAAUCGGAAUUACUGGGCGUAAAGCGUGCGUAGGCGGUGAGUUAAGUCUGCUGUGAAAUCCCCGGGCUCAACCUGGAAUGGCAGUGGAUACUGGCUCGCUAGAGUGUGUCAGAGGAUGGUGGAAUUCCCGGUGUAGCGGUGAAAUGCGUAGAGAUCGGGAGGAACAUCAGUGGCGAAGGCGGCCAUCUGGGACAACACUGACGCUGAGGCACGAAAGCGUGGGGAGCAAGCAGGAUUAGAUACCCGAGUAGUCCCUGUCUCUUAUACA